rnacentral:lncRNA from 1 species
AACAACCCAAUUACUUCAACAAGCCAUGCAAGUGAUCAUCAUUUAUUCUCCUACACAUAUAAAGGUCCAAAAGCCUUACAAUAACAACAUGGGCUAGCCACGCCCAACCCAAACCAAACUUCUAGCUGCUAUCGGAGAGAGAAAAUCUGAGAGGAUUGGCGAACAAACGGCUAGAAAAUCCACCACCGAAGAGGAGCCAAAGUCUAAGACAGAGUCAUCUGUCGUCGCCUCCGUCGAGCACGUCAAGGACACUGAUGGUUGUAGAUUCAAUGCCUUCAAGAGGGCAUCAACAACCGACUAGCGAAGGUUCGGUGCAACUUUAUUGGAAUCUCCACGUGCAAGCCUUUGAGGCCAAACGGCGACGGCGCGCCACCUUGAGUAAUGACCUUGUCGGGGCAUUCAAAACAAAAACCGAAAUAACUGGAAUCGGCCCAGCGGCAAGAGAAAAGAAAAAAAACCACUAGGGAAGCAAGUUGUCACCUUACGCCGGCAAAGGAAAACCGACACAAAAGAAAGGACAACUUCUUAGUUAUUUUGUUGAGAAGAAAAGCAAAGGAAAAAUGAUCGAUUACAACGGUCGAAAAUGUGAGUGGUACCGACCCUAAGGUCGGCCGGCCGCUCUUGGAAAGGCCAAGGCAACAAAGGUAGGAGAAGGAAGGAUUUGAGAGGGAGGAGAGAAAAGUCUUCUCGGUUAAAAAAUUAUCAACUUUUAAUCUUACUAAGACUGGAACUAUUGUAACAAAAUAAAUGCUUUUAAUAAAUUUUAAACUUAAUACUUUUUAUAUAUUAAUUUAUUCUUUAAUAAUCAAUACUUAUUUACACAG